rnacentral:rRNA from 1 species
GAUAAACGCUGGCGGCGUGCCUAAUGCAUGCAAGUCGCACGGAGUGCCUCUUCGGGGGCGCUGAGUGGCGAACGGGUGAGGAACGCGUGGAGAACCUACCCCGGCGUGGGGAUACCCGCCAGAAAUAGGUGGCUAAUACCGCGUACGGUCCAGGGCGAGAGGCCAUCUGGAAGAAAGCAGUGAUGCGCGCUGGGAGGGGUCUGCGCCCGAUUAGCUAGUUGGCGGGGAACGGCCCACCAAGGCGGUGAUCGGUAGCUGGUCUGAGAGGAUGAUCAGCCACACGGGGACUGAGACACGGCCCCGACUCCUACGGGAGGCAGCAG